rnacentral:rRNA from 1 species
UAGGGAAUAUUGGUCAAUGGGUGAGAGCCUGAACCAGCCAUGCCGCGUGCAGGAAGAAGGCCUUCUGGGUUGUAAACUGCUUUUGCCAGGGGAUAAAAAUACCUUGCGAGGUAAAUUGAAGGUACCUGGUGAAUAAGCCACGGCUAACUACGUGCCAGCAGCCGCGGUAAUACGUAGGUGGCAAGCGUUGUCCGGAUUUAUUGGGUUUAAAGGGUGCGUAGGCGGCCCUGUAAGUCAGUGCUGAAAUAUCCCAGCUUAACUGGGAGGGUGGCAUUGAUACUGCGGGGCUAGAGUACAGAUGAGGUAGGCGGAAUUGACGGUGUAGCGGUGAAAUGCUUAGAUAUCGUCAAGAACACCUAUAGCGGAGGCAGCUUACUAGGCUGUAACUGACGCUGAGGCACGAAAGUGUGGGGAUCAAACAG